GGUUAUAUCCGAAUUUUUAUUCGGUGUUCGAUUAAUUUGUACGGGUAUUACUUUUGGGUUAUUCGGUAACAUUGUCUGGUGAAGUAUUUACAUAACCGAAAAAAGACUACUAAAUAAUUACUAGUUAAUAACCGAACGAUACCCACUCUGAAGAACAAACAAAGCACACUUGAACUCUCUUAGAUCUCGAACUCUCUGAGAUCCAGACCCCCAGACCCAGAUCUCGAUUUCUGUCGAUGCAUCGCCUCGGUCCGAUUGACCGGCCAGAGGCUUUCGGAGGGCAACGCGCGAGAGGUAAACGUCGGCGAUGUUGGGCAGGAAUUUGAGGACGACUAAUUGGAGGUCGGGUUUGGCGAAUUGGAAGGUGUCGUAGAGCCAGAGGCAGAGGUGGUUGUCGCCGGCGCCGGAGUUGGGUUGGCGGAGGAGUUUAGUGAUUUGGGUGGAGAUUUGGGUGUCGUGGAGGAGAGAAUAGGAAGGAUCCUCGGAGCCGAAAAGGGAAUCAGGAAAAGAUGGGUCAUGGGAGGAUUGCGGAGAGAGAUUCGAUGGAUGACUGGCCUUCGGAAAAUGAAUCGGACCAUGAGAUGUGUGGGCUGCUGGGAACCGAGGCUUCUGCCAUGGAAAUUGAAUCAGAGGUGACCUUAAUUAAUGGAAAUUAAUUGAAAGAGAGGAAUGGGGAAAAUAGAAAUGAUUUCAUUAAUUUAAAUUCGGUUAUUAACCGAAUAACCGAAUAACUUAUUGGGUUAUUCAGUUAUUCGGUUAGUGGACAUUUCGGUUAUUCAUUUGGAUAGCAAAAAUAGGAUAUUUUCGGGUAUCGGUUAUAACCGAAUUACUAGUUCGGUUCGAUUAAUAACCGAAUGCUCACCCCUAGCUCUCAGAGAAGAGGAAAGUAAAAUGAUUUACUCUUCUCUUUCUUUAGUUUGACCAUUUCCUUUGGCUGGACUUCUUAGCAUAUAGUAGUAGUAACAAACAAAGGAAAUUCAAUAAAAAAACAAUCCUUUCUUUAUCAAUAUAGGCAAAUAAUUGGGAUAAUAUCUAUCUAUCUAUCUAUCUGCCUGUGGGAAAAAGACAUGGCUGCUACUCUCCCUCCUGCACAGUUAGAGUCACUGCCCAAGCCAGUACAAGAAAUGGCCAUGGAUUGUGAUUCACUGCCGGAAAGAUAUAUCUAUAAAGGCAGUGAUGGGGCCAUCGAUAUUUCCUUUCCGGUGAUGGAAAUUCCUGUUAUCGAUCUCAACUGCCUAUCAUAUUCAUCACCAUCUGCAGAAAAAGAACUUGAAAAACUUCGAUUAUCUCUAAGUUCAUGUGGUUGCUUUCAGGUCUCUAUAUAUAUCACCAACAAGUAGUUACUUGUUGAUUUGAUUAGUCUAGUAUGUUUAGAUCUGAUUUUGAAAAGGCUAGUUACCCAAGGGGUGGGACUCUCGAUGAAAGCACCAACAUUGAAAAAGUUGGGUGAAACUAAGGACUAAAUCAACCCACAUCAAUCAAUGAAAGUAAUAAUGAUACAAACCUUAGCCCUUUGACCUACAUUGAAAAGCUAGCUAACAAAGGAAAGAGACUAAGGCCUAUAUCAACCCACAUCAAGUUGCAUUUGUAACCAAUGUGAGACUAUUCCCUAGUAUGGAGUUCGCAUCACCAUAUUCCAUUCCGAUCCAAAUCGAAAAGUUCUUUUCUCAUCUUUUCUUCGCUUAUUUAACUUGAACAAUGAAACAUAACAUCAUUUUAUUUAUUUUUAAUUCCUUUUUGGUAUUUUAUAUAUAUAUAUAUAGGUAAAAAUAGAGAUACACAACAGAGUGAUUUAAUUUCACUCUAUUAUUAACCUGCUCGUACUCUAUUUGUUUCACAGUAUUGGUUGUGUGAGCACACCACCAUUCUAGGUGCUGAGAACAACAAAGUAUACCCAAGGCUUCUUGAGUGGAGCAUUCCCAAACUUCAAUCAAGUAUUAAAGAGAAUCCUUUGGACUCAAUUCCAGAUGAAAAGGUUAGACAAAAUAUGUGUUUCCCAAUUUCUAUAUUAUGAGACCUAUCUCAUUUACUGUAAAUCCAAUCAUGUUGCUACUGAAUGAUAUCACACAUUAUUGAAUAUUAGACAUGUCUCGUGUUAAAUCACAUUUUGAAUUUGUGACUCUCCUCCUUUUAUUGUCGUUCUUUCUUGUUCGCUAUUAAUUUGGAUGCUGAAAAAGCAGUUGGAAAUUAAAAGAAAACAAAUUGAUAAGAAGAUGUGAAAUGAAAUAUAUCAAAAUUGUGAUAUUUUGAUAUAUUGUUUACAAAUAUAUCAAAAUGCUCUAAUAUUUAAUAUUUCAAAUACCAUUUCCAACAAGAAAGAGACACGGAAGGAAGGUUACACAACAGAUUUGGUAUUCGUAUCUCAAUAACCACAAACAGACGGUGUGUUUGUGUUUGGAUUGAGACGGAUGUGAAUAAUUAUAAUAAAGGCAUGGCAUUCAAGGCCAACUGCAUUUUGUGGCUUGUAUUGAAGAAGAAACAUUCCCCACUCCUAACCUUUAUGGUUGGUAUAAAAUCACUACUUGACACAUAAAAAGGAGAACCACUUGUUUUGUAUUGUUUGACCCAGAUUGUAGGAAGAUAUUGUUUAUACUGAAAAGGGAAUAUUGAAGAUUACCACAAAUCCUAAUGAUUUCAAGAAAAGAUUAAUCCUAAAAAUUAUAAGACAAGAGCAAAUAGCUAAAACAAUGGUUUGAUAUCAGAUACCAGAAAGAAGAAAACAACUUGGAUCUCUUUCAAACCAUUAGUUAAGAAAAAAAACAUCCCAAAUUUCAAUGUUGUAUAUUAUCUAGAUUACAACCAAAUGAACAAUGAAACAAUUUAACAUCCUCUAGAAGCACUGGAGAUGGGUGAUCCAAAGUUUCUAAAACAAAAGCUUCCUAGCCCCCUUUCUAAAUAACCUUCCCUUUUGCUACAAGGAACCAUUACAGUUGAGGUAAAUCACAAAUAUCGGGAUAAAUAACGUUUUGGUCACUGUACUGGGGUUCGGUUUUUAAUCUGGUUAUCGAAAUUUUUUUUGUUACAAUUGAAUAACUGUACUUUCUUAUAUUACAAAAUGGUCAUUAUUUUCAAUUUCCGUCCGAAAAAACGGACGGAAAAGCUAACUAGGCAUAAAUGGGUUGGUUUUGCUGAUGUGGACGGCUUUCUUUGACCUUUGACCCAUAUCUAUCAUUCUUUCCAUUUUCAGUUUUCACAUACAAUAAUAAUAAUUGAAUACGAAAAAUAAAUACUUUAUAAUUUUAUUUAUUUAUAAUAAUACUUUAUUAAUUAUAAUUAUUCAUAUAAAAAUAUUUUUAUAAUUUUUUAAAAAAAUUUAAAUUUUAAAAUUAUUAUUAGUAGUAGUAUUUUAUUAUUAGUAGUAGUAGUAUUUUAUUUAUUAUUAUUAAAUAACGUUUAGUUAACGUUUUUUAAAAAAUUAUAAAAAUAUUUUUAUAAUUUUUUAAAAAAAUUUAAAUUUUAAAAUUAUUAUUAGUAGUAGUAGUAUUUUAUUUAUUAUUAUUAAAUAACGUUUAGUUAACGUUUUUUAAAAAAUUAGUUCAGUUUUAAAAAAAAUAUUAGUUCAGUAUAAAAAAAAUUAACGUUUUUUAAAAAAUUAAAAAAAUUUGUUUUUAUAAAAAAUUAGCGUUUUUUAAAAUUAACUUUUUUUAAAAAAAUUAACGUUUAUUAAAAUUAAAAAAUUCUGUUAUUAUGUUUUUGUUAUUUUAAAUUAUUAUUACAAAAUAAUAAUAAUAAUUUCACAAUAAAACAGACAUUUUUUAAAAAAUAGAAUUUUAAAAAACAUAAUUUUUUUAACAUAAUUUCUUUUUAAAAAAUUAGUUCAGUUUAAAAAAAAUAGUUAACGUUUUUUAAAAAAUUAGUUCAGUUUUUUAAAAAAUUAGUUAACGUUUUUUAUGUUAAUAUUAAUAUAAAAAUAUAAAUUAUAGUAAUAAUUAUAAUAAUAAUUUUUAAAAUUUUAAAAUUUUAAAAAAGAUUAUAUAAAUUAUAAAAAUAUUUUUAUAUGAAGUUGAUGUGUAUUUUAAAAAAAUAUUUUUAUUAUUUUAUUAAUUUAAAUUAUUUGAGUAAGGGUAAAUUUGACAAAUCAUUUUAAAAAUAAUACAAGGAUGUUUUAUAUCAUUAAAAAUAAUACAAGGAUAUUAUUUAAGAAAUUAUUAUGGAGAGAGAAAUUAUAAUACAAGGAUAUUAAUUAAAGACAAUUGUGGAGAAUGAGAAGAGAUAAUUGUGGAGAGAGAAAUAAUUAAUUAGGGACAUAAAAGAUAUUUUGUGUUAUUUCUUAAUAAAUGUGCUUAACUCUAAAAUGUCAUUUAAUCUGAAUAAUUUCUUAAAUAAUAGUUAAGAAAUAUGUAAUUAAUUUCUUUAAUAAUUUCUUAAAAAACGUUAACUAAUUUUUUUUAAACUGAACUAAUUUUUUUAAAAACGUUAACUAAUUUUUUUUAAACUGAACUAAUUUUUUAAAAAGAAAUUAUGUUAAAAAUUUUAUGUUUUUUAAAAUUCUAUUUUUUAAAAAAAGUCUGUUUUAUUGUGAAAUUAUUAUUAUUAUUUUGUAAUAAUAAUUUAAAACAUUAAUUUUUUUUAAACUGAACUAAUAUUUUUUUUAAACUGAACUAAUUUUUUAAAAAACGUUAACUAAACUUUAUUUAAUAAUAAUAAAUAAAAUACUACUACUAAUAAUAAUAAAAUACUACUAAUAAUAAUAAUUUUAAAUUUUAAAUUUUUUUAAAAAUUAUAUAAAUUAUAAAAAUAUUUUUAUAUGAAUAAUUAUAAAUAAUAAAGUAUUAUUGUAAAUAAAUAAAAUUAUAAAGUAUUUAUUUUUCGUAUUCAAUUAUUAUUAUUGUAUGUGAAAACUGAAAAUGAAAAGAAUGAUAGAUAUGGGUCAAAGGUCAAAGAAAGUCGUCCACAUCAGCAAAACUAACCCAUUUAUGUCUAGUCAGCUUUUCAGUCCUUUUUUUCGAACGGAAAUUGAAAAUAAUGAUCAUUUUGUAAUAUAUGAGAGUACAGUUAUUCAGUUGUAACAAAGAAAGUAUCGGUAACCAGAAUAAAAACCGAACCUCAGUACAGUGACCAAAACGUUAUUUAUCCCCCACAAACAUCCAUGUCCUCCUUCCUUUCUUUUUGUUUUACUCCAACCUCUACCUUGUCCAUUAAUCCUCAUUUUCCUCUACCCUCUAAGUUUUCCUAUUCUAUAAUCUUAGAAAGGGGUAAAAUACAAAUGUGAUCACUGAACUUUAGGUGUUUUUGGGUAUUGAGCCAUUUUCUUUUGGUCAACGCAAAUUAAGCUCUUUUUUAUUAAAAAAUUUGGACUUUGAAUCCCAGGCGCCACAUGUGCGUUGAUUGCCUACGUGGCGCCUACAUGGCAGCUAUGACAUGAAUAUUUUUAAUUUUAUUUUACACAUGGCAGCUAUGACGUGGACAGUUUUGAAUUUUUUCCCAAAAACAUAUAAUUGGUAAGUUUUGAACUUGGAACCUCAAACUUGAAAAUAUGACCCAAUAACCAACUAAGCUAGACAAAUAACUUGUUAUAAAUUUGCAAGGAUUAAUAUUUAUAACUAAACAAUUAGAUCCCAAAAUUAAAAUAAAACCAAUCUCCCCAAAUUAUUAUUAUUAUUAUUAUUAUUGUUAUUAUUUUUAGUAUUAUUAUUAUUGUUAUUGUUAUUAUUAUUAUUGUUGUUGUUAUUAUAAUAAUUAUUUAGACAUAUUAAAAAAUUACACUUAGAAAAACUAAUAAAUUUAUUUAAACAAAUUUACGGCAAAUCAAAAUUUGAUAAUGUAAAUUAAUUUUAGUUAAUGUUAUUUUAAUUUUAUUAAUUAAUUUUUUUAAAAACAUUAUAUAUAAAUUUGUGACAAAAUUUAAAUUUUAUAAAUUAAUUUAUUCAAAUAAAAGAAAUGAUCAUUUUAUUAAAAAAGAAAGAAAAAACAAAAUUAAAAAAAAUAUUAAAAAACCGUGCUUUUCUCUCCUCUGUUCGUUAAUCAAUUAUUAUUCAUGUGUGACCCAAAUCAGUACCAUAAGUGACCUAAAACAACAAACCCAGAUCAAGAAGAACUUGAAAAACAGGGGUAAUACCCAUAUCCAUAUCAAAGCAGAUUUGAAAAAAAAUCAAAAUCAAUCAAUUAGAUCCGAAGAAAAACAACAAACCCAGAUCAGGAAGAACACGAAAAACAGGGGGUAAUACCCAUAUCCAUAUCAUAGCAGAUUUGAAAAAAAAAAUCAAAACCAAUGAAUUAGAUCGAGAAUUCAUCAAUUAGUUGUACAAUUUCAAAAUAUUAUGACAAUCGAAACAGAAGUAGAGAAGCAAUUACAGGUGAACAUAUAGGAGAAAAUCUUAUGAGGUCGUCAGAGAUGUUGUAGCAGCCAUUAAUCAUGUGUUCUUAACCGGACCACUAGUGCCUUUCUCUUCUCUUUAUUAUUAACCGGACCACUAGCACCCAUUAAUCUUGUGAAGGUCGUCAGAGUUUUUCAAAAUAAUGAAAGAGGCGGAUGAGAGGAAGAUGAAAGAUGAAAGAUGAAAGAGGCGGAUCUUGCAGGAGUUUUUCAAAAUAAUUUGUAGGAGUCUUUGAUGUCUUUAAUAACGUCUUUUAUUAUUAUUAUUAUUGUCAUUAUUAUUGUUGUCAUUAGUAUUAAUAAUAAUAAUAAUAGUAGUAGUAGUACUACUACUAAUAAUAAUAACAAUAAUAAUAAUAAUAAUAAUAAUUUGGGGAGAUCUGUUUUAUUUUAAUUUAGGGAUCUAAUUGUUUAGUUAUAAAUAUUAAUCCUUGCAAAUUUAUAACAAGUUGUUUGUCUAGCUUAAUUGGUUAAUGGGUUAUAUUUUCAAGCUUGAGGUUUUAAAUUCAAAACUUGGCAACUAAAUAAAAUAAAAAAUAUCCACGUCAUAGCUGCCACGUAGGCAGUCAGCGCAUAUGUGGCGCCUGGGGCUCAAAGUCCAAAUUUUUUAAUAGAAAGGGUGUGACGCCCCCAAAAUUGGUAUAUGUGACGCCCCCAAAAUUAGGUAUACAUCACCCAUCUUGGGUCGCCACUUACAUGGUACAGAAUACAAAUACAAACUAAUUAUACAACUGUCGUGUAACAUACGACAAAAUAUAUACAGUGAGUUUUAACUCGAAUAUUGUCAUCUAGACAAUAUUCACACUAUCUAACAGAAUAGUGAGGACUACUAAUGCUAUCAUCUGGACCGUCACUUCGUUCCCCGACUAGUCCCAGCUACGUUCUCAUUUCCUGAAGAGAACAUUGAAAGAAAGGGUGAGCUCAACUAGCCCAGUAAGAAAUAUUAUGACUAAGAUAAUGCAGAAUAAAUUAUCAUUAGCCUUCAACAGUAUAACAACUGAUAGAAUAUAAUAGACAACAAGUUUUAGAUCAAAAACUGCAGCGGAAAAUAAGCAAUCCAUUAAAAGAGUCAAGUAGAGAAUAAAAUCUACUAUCUUUUAUGAUUUAAAAAGUUUUUCAUCACUUUUAUCGCUGAGACUCAGCUCAAUAAAUAAUCCACAUCAUUAAAUCAUCCCUGCACUACAGGUCAAGGAUAUAAAUCUUUAGUAUCACGACCACGAAUUAUCCAUGCACUACGGGCCAAAGAUAAUCGUGUUUUCAUCAACGAUCCUGAUCAUGCCAUAAAAUAAUUCAUCUUUGCACUCUUGGCCAAAGAGAAUCCAUAAUCAUAAUCAUAUCAAAAACUGUCCAUCAAUGCACUACGGGCCAAUGAGGACUUUUUUCACAUCAUUUGUAAUAUUACGGUCAUGAUUAUACCGAAUAAUCCCUGGUCAUAAUCAUACCAAGUUCAUCUAUGCUCUACAGGUCACAGAUGACUUUCAACAGAAAAUAAACAUGAGGAUGAUGACAAUGAUAUAAGAAUUCAAUAAAACAAGUUCAAGAAUUAAUUUAUCCAAGAACCAAUAACGUCCAAUUGUCAACAAGAUAUUGUUUUGUAGUGUAAAAUUCAAGAAUGCUCAGAAGAAUAUUUCCAUGAAAAGAUAUUGGAUGAAGCGCAAAUAUCAAGGAUAUUCCACUAAUUUCAUGGAGUAUAGAAGUCAAAAUUUUAACCAACUGAGUAUAAUAACGAAUGGAAUAUCAAAAGAAAUUACCAUGCAUGCGGUACUUCGCAUAGACUGGUUAUUCCAACAGAAUAAUAAUAACGGAACCAGGUCAGGUGAAAUUCACACCGACAGGAUGUUCCAACAGAAUAAUAANNNNNNNNNNNNNNNNNNNNNNNNNNNNNNNNNNNNNNNNNNNNNNNNNNNNNNNNNNNNNNNNNNNNNNNNNNNNNNNNNNNNNNNNNNNNNNNNNNNNNNNNNNNNNNNNNNNNNNNNNNNNNNNNNNNNNNNNNNNNNNNNNNNNNNNNNNNNNNNNNNNNNNNNNNNNNNNNNNNNNNNNNNNAAAGCACAGACAGGAUGUUCCAACAGAAUAAUAAAGACGGAACCAGGUCCGGCGUAAAGCACAGACAGGAUGUUCCAACAGAAUAAUAAAGACAGAAUAAUAAAGACGGAACCAGGUUCAGCGUAAAGCACAUACAUGAUGUUCCAACAGAAUAAUAAAGACGGAAUAAUAAAGACGAAACCAGGUCCGGCGUAAAGCACAGACAGGAUGUUCCAACAGAAUAAUAAUGACAGAAUAAUAGAAGAAUGUCACCAAGUAUAAGGUAGCCCGCGAAUACAGGUUAUUCCAACAGAAUAAUAAAGAAAUAUAAUAACAAAAGCUCUCUUCUUGAAUGCAAAAGAAAUAACACCCCUUACCGUAAAAGAACUGGAUAUAGGAGUAGUGAAGUAGCAUAAAACUUUUCUUCUAACUCUCUAUAGUCUCUCUCUAUAGUUUCUCUCUCUAGAGUUCAGUGAAUUCGUAAGAAAAUAAUGAAGGAAUGAGCUUCUAUUUAUAGGAAAAUGGAAUGCAUAGUAACUAAUCCAUGAACGGUCCAGAUUGAUCUACUUUAAUCUGACGGUCCAUAUUUAAAGCAAAAUCUUUUAAAUAAAAUAUAAUAUAUUCUAUUUAUAAUCUAAUAAAACGAAAAAUUUUAUAAAAAGAUUUUAUUAUGCAAAACAAUAUGCAACACUAUACAACGCUGCAUAAUAAAAUAUAAAAUAUUCUAAUUAUUAUCAAAUAAAACGAAUAACUUUAUAAAAGUAUUCUGUUUUAUAUAAAAAGAUUUUACUAUUAGCCUAAUAAAACGAAUAACUUUAUAAAAGUAUUCUGUUUUAUAUAAAAAGAUGUUUCUGUUUUAUUACGUUAAUAAUACGAAUAAAACAAAACUUCAUCAUCAUAUAAAAUAUCGACAAUAAUUGAAUUAAACUGAGCGACUUCUCACAGAAGCAUCAAUAAUCAAUACCGUGUGCUACUAUGCAACCACACGUAUUACUGUACUUUUACUACCGAGUAGUUCAACAGUAUCAACGGUAAAACUUCCACCGUUAUUUCAAUAAAAUAUUUUUGUCGUUUUCUCAAUCCGACAAUAAUUUUGUUGUGGGGUCCACCAAUGAUUGUGCCGUCGUACGAAUAUUUCUUGUUUAAAAAGAAUAUUCCCCGACCAAUCGAAUAUUAUAUAACAACUUACGUACUUUGUAAAAUUUAUAAUUAUUACCCACAACUAUAACAUUAUAUCAUAAUAUUCAAAAAUAAUAAUUAUAGAAAAUUCAUCUUUGUUCAAAAAGUUGGGGUCUUACAAUAAGGGUACCUCCCACCUACCCAAUUCGAUUGGGCCGGGUCCAUCUGGGGCGGUGGCGGACGGUGAUGGUGAUCAUACGGAGCUGGCAAAGGUACUGGCAUCGCUGGCGGAGGUGGAUAGUAACCUGGGUACUGAUAAUAUGGUGGAGGAUUAGGGUUAGGGUAUUGAGAAGGGUACGGGGUGGCCGCAGCGAAUACAUAUCGAUUGCCGGUGAUUUCCGGCUGCGGUGGUUGCGGAGGGCAUGGGCGACGCAAGCUGUUAAUAAAGGCUUGAUAUUGACCCUCUUGUCUUUUGGAAUAGUAAAUAACGAGCCAUUGUUUGAUUUAGUUGAUGGGAUGGAUCACAGUAUAGUACUACAAAUCUUUGUCCACUGUAUGGUCCGUAUCUUCAAAAGAUUAUCCAUUAUUUUUAACCAUAAGUUGUCUGAAAUUAAAAGUUUUUGUGCAUGUUAUGUACUCAAAAACUAUAGACACCAUGAGUGUGCUGAAAAACCAUAUAUUCUUCUUGCUAUGGGGAUCUAAAUAAAGUCACAAGCCGCAACAUUGAAAUGACAUUUAACUGAUCUUUAUAAGAUGAUAAGAAUAAGCAUUAACUCGUACAAAUAUAUCUUCUGGGGAAAAACAAUAAUCUAACCUUUGGGAACACAUGAUUCGCAUUUAGCACUAGCAUUUUUACUAGUUCGCCUCUUCUUCAAGCAAACAGCAAAUCUCUUUCCAAUUUUUUUAUGAUGAUCCACCAAAAACCCUUCAUCACCAUCCCUCAAAACCCCAAAUUUCUUCUUAAAUGCCUUAUCGCCCACAUUCUGAAUCCCCUCGAGACCCAGAACCCAAUUUCCUCCUCGAAUUCCUCCCAGGAGUCCCUGGAGCACUAGAAAACCUGAAGAUUGAGUACUCAGAGGGUCUUGAACGAUGUGUUUCAGUGUUUUGGGAG
rnacentral:lncRNA from 1 species